AUUGAACGCUGGCGGCAGGCUUAACACAUGCAAGUCGAGCGGGGGAAGGUAGCUUGCUACUGGACCUAGCGGCGGACGGGUGAGUAAUGCUUAGGAAUCUGCCUAUUAGUGGGGGACAACAUCUCGAAAGGGAUGCUAAUACCGCAUACGUCCUACGGGAGAAGGCAGGGGAUCUUCGGACCUUGCGCUAAUAGAUGACCCUACGUCGGAUUAGCUAGUUGGUGGGGUAAAGGCCUACCAAGGCGACGAUCUGGAGCGGGUCUGAGAGGAUGAUCCGCCACACUGGGACUGAGACACGGCCCAGACUCCUACGGGAGGCAGCAGUGGGGAAUAUUGGACAAUGGGGGGAACCCUGAUCCAGCCAUGCCGCGUGUGUGAAGAAGGCCUUAUGGUUGUAAAGCACUUUAAGCGAGGAGGAGGCUACUUUAGUUAAUACCUAGAGAUAGUGGACGUUACUCGCAGAAUAAGCACCGGCUAACUCUGUGCCAGCAGCCGCCGUAAGAC
rnacentral:rRNA from 1 species